GACGAACGCUGGCGGCGUGCUUAACACAUGCAAGUCGAGCGGUAAGGCCCUUUCGGGGGUACACGAGCGGCGAACGGGUGAGUAACACGUGGGUGACCUGCCCUCAGCUCUGGGAUAAGCCUGGGAAACCGGGUCUAAUACCGGAUAUGACUCCAUGACGCAUGUUGUGGGGUGAAAAGCCUUGUGCGGCUGAGGAUGGGCCCGCGGCCUAUCAGCUUGUUGGUGGGGUGAUGGCCUACCAAGGCGACGACGGGUAGCCGGCCUGAGAGGGCGACCGGCCACACUGGGACUGAGACACGGCCCAGACUCCUACGGGAGGCAGCAGUGGGGAAUCUUGCGCAAUGGGCGAAAGCCUGACGCAGCGACGCCGCGUGAGGGAUGACGGCCU
rnacentral:rRNA from 1 species